rnacentral:lncRNA from 1 species
UUAGAAUAUGUCUUAUGAAGUAAAAGUUACUUGGUUGACGUAAUGAUUAGAGAUGGUUGAGUACUUGAAUUGCUAUUGUCUGAUUAUGGCAAUUUCCUUACCAUCAUGGCUUCAUGUAGAAUGCUACAGACUUUUAAGCUACAGAUUUUUAAAGCCCUAGAAAUCUAACAUUACGAAAACAAAAGGAAAUAAGGAAAUCUAACCUUAUUGUCUGAUACUGAGCUAUUUUUGCAUUGGAGCAAGAAGUACAGUUUGCUCCAUAACCUUAACAGUGUUACUGACAUUUUCCUGAUGGUAAUGGUUUAAAUCAGGUGAUGUUGGUGUGUGGGAGUUUCUUAUUAUUGGUAGCAGAUUGUUGAAUGACUUGAUGCCUCUAGGUUGUCUUGAACUUUCAAGUUGUUUGGAAUCAAGGAAACUGAUGGUGCAGCUGCAAUGUUCUCUCAACAUGCUUGAACGAGAUACUGGGUGAUUUCAAGCUGUUGAGUAGCUUGAAAGUUUUGUGGGUCGUAGAGUUACAGAGAGAAGUAGAGAAGCAAAGGAGCGCUAGAUCAACAAGAAAAUCAGAAUGAGUGGAGGCGGCAUGGAAGCAGUGUCGUCUAGGCCACAAGAGGCUAAUGGCCAGCACAAGAGGAAUUUGCUAUGGGAACUUUCUUGUGGUCCAACUAGC